GCACGUCAGGGAACAGAUGUUGAGAUGCCUGAAAACAUCCAGUUUCCCCUGGAACAACUGGAGGAAGUGGAGGCAUCUGAGAUGUUUCUAAAGGAACCGUCAAAGGCCCAACUCCACAGAGAUUGAUUUCUUCUUUGGGCACCACUGGAGGACCAGGAUGUGAAGAGGGUGACCCGGUGCAUUCUGGGCCGGCUCUUCACAGAUGAGGUGUGUCAUCAGAUCAACUGAAGGGGUUAAUAACAAAAAGCCCUUCAGUAGGAUGGCAACCAAGACCUUGCUUUUCAAUUCCAGGUGCUGUGAGGAAAAACACUGACCCGGUCAGCCACGGAUGCAGAGGUCUCCAAGCACACAAUCAGGUGUUCAACCUGGCAGCCAGGCACGUGCACAGGGAAAGUGUAGUGAGUAAGAGACCUUCAAGAGACCAACAUCCCUGGUCCACCACAGUAUCAAAUUUUUGCCAGGUAGGCGGAUGCAUGUUGGAUAUGUUAUAGUAACGGUAUGGCUAUAGUUUCUUAUAAUCUGGAAUUGAGUUGGACAUAAUUACUUAAAUUAUAUUUUAAAAAAGUUUGUCAAAAAUACUUGACUCAUUGCUCACCUUCCCCUCAUCUCAAUGUCAUUCAUAAUCAUGUUAACCAAAUAAUACAAAUUAGCUUAUAAAACCAUACAGAAUAGCCAAAAAAGUCAAUAUAUAUGUAAUUCUUUUCUUUGCAAAGUUAAUUAAAAAAAAGUGCAUAAAGUUCAAUAAAAAAAGAUUUUGGUUUCUGUUUGGUUUUAUAAGCUAAUUUGUAUGUUUAUGUAUGAGUCAAGUAUUUUUUUUCUCUAUAAAUGCAAUUUAAAAAAAGAGGGAGUACACAAGAGCAAUUCACAAACACAGGACCACAAAUAAUACGGACAAAAAAACUUACUAAAUAAUCUUGAUAUAAAAAAAGGGAGGGGGGUGCCCUUUUUCAGUUUCAGCACAUGCCCCUCAAAAGGUCUGUGCACGGCCCUGCUGGCAGCAGAUCUGGCAAGGAGGAGACGUGUCCCGCCUCCAUCCACACAAACAGAGGAAAAGAAAUGUUUAAACAAUAAACCAUCUUUUUAUUGAACCUCUUGUCUUUCACCAGUUAUUCAUUUUCUGAUGCUGUGCAGUGCAACAUUUCAUUGAAGUUGUGGUCUAAUAGAUCAAAUAUUUUUAUGUACCUAGGCCUACAGUAUAAAGCAUUAAAUUAGGUUCUGACCAUAAAAUGAAUGUAGAUUAGCCUAGCCAGGCUAGGCUACUUAACAAAUACUGAAUAGGCUAUAACCUAAAACUCCAUAAAUGCAAAUGUCAAUUUUAUAUUUUCAUUGAGUAGUGAUUCCUUUUGUACAGUAAAUGUAUGUCUUGGAUUGGAACUUUUCUGUUAGGCUUAUUUACAAUAUUUGGUUAAAAUUACAAGGCAAUGCAGAUUUAAGCUUAGGUCUAUAUUGCUGUAGUAGCCUAGGCUAGACAUAGUGAUAGUUUAUCUUACAAUUUAGUUUAUACUAUAUUAUCCUACAGCAAGAACAGAAGGGAUUUUGAAAAUGAGAUAAACGGACCCGGGCCAGAUGAGACAGUAUUUUUAGUCCAUUGCGGGUCCGUGGCGGAUAUAUAUUUCAAUUUGCGGGUCCCAAACGGACCCGCCGUGG
ensembl:lncRNA